rnacentral:rRNA from 1 species
GAUCAUGGCUCAGGACGAACGCUGGCGGCGCGCCUAACACAUGCAAGUCGAACGAGAGAUGAGGAGCUUGCUCUUCAAAUCGAGUGGCGAACGGGUGAGUAACGCGUGAGGAACCUGCCUCAAAGAGGGGGACAACAGUUGGAAACGACUGCUAAAUACCGCAUAAGCCCACGGCUCGGCAUCGAGCAGAGGGGAAAGGAGUGAUCCACUUUGAGAUGGCCUCGCGUCCGAUUAG